GAAAAAAAGGGAAAAAGCCCACCCCACAUCCCCCGAUCCCGAUCCCACCACCUCCCGCACCUCCCGCUCGCCGCCCCGUCCCCAAUCGGCGGCGCCGGCGCCACCGCCACCAAGCCCCUAACCGGAGACGCGGUGGCCGCCCCCGCCCCAACCGGAGACACCGCCGCUGGCCCGCCAUGCCUCAGUCGGAGACACCGCGGCCCCAACAUCCCGCCGCCACCGCCGUGGCAACCAGCUUUCCCCGCCGUCAAUACGCGUCGCCGUCGCGUCGUGCCACCACGCGCCACCACGCGCCGCCGGCGACAGAGGAAGCUUCCUCGACCACAGCGCCAAAAAUCGUCCACCCCAUCCCCUAUCACUCCCUCCGGUGAGUUCUGGUGGCUUCUUCUCAUUCCACGAACGGGGUUGCUCACUGGAACACACAAGCCGUGGUGGGCUGCAGUUCGGCGGGCACGUGCAAGUAGUUCGUCUUUUUGCCCGGGGCGUCACCCUUUGCAUCGGCGACCACCAGAGCUGGCCUGAGGCGUGGUCCUGCUCGUGGUCCCUUGCUACAUCUUGGCUGAAGAGAGAUGGAGCUCCGCACAACGUGUGAAGUUCGACCGGUGAGCCUAUGCAGUCCGACAACACGUAUUCGGCAGAUGGUGAGCCUCCUCCGCCCGCUUCAGCCACGAGAGCAGCCACUGCUACCCUUGCACCGACGGAUCAGUCUGGAAACAACUCACGGACGGGGUCUCCUGUAUGCAGGCAUGCAGCUGCCGCGGUGAAGCCCCUACCUAUGGAGUUCAGUUUUGCCUACCGCUGCAUCCUGUGUUUUUUAAUUGAACAUUUGUGAUAGACGUACAUGUGUGCUUGCUGCUGAUGUGUGUCGUGCAAUAGCAUUUUACCUAGCACCCAAACAUGCUGCGUACUUUGCUGUGUGUACAAAUUUGUGGUUGCUCGCUUCUUUCUGUGUUAUUUGAUUGUUGUACGUCUGUACUUCCUACCCGUGAUGCACCUGCAGCUAGAGGAGCGCUCGGCCUGCAGCAAGAGGAGGGCACGACCUGUAGCUGCAUGGCCACAUCCAGUAGAGAAGAUAGAGGCAGCCGAGUAACGGAUCUGGCACGCGCCCCUUCGGCCAAGAGGCUGCCGAGCUGCUCGGUCGCCGGCCACCAGCAGCAGCAGGUCAUCUUUCCACACCUCCCCGUACAAAAUGCUGACGACGCCAAGCUUCUCGGCCCCUCUGCCCUCCACCAGUGUUCCUUUGCAGAAAACGAGCUCUGGUCCCAGCAGAGGUUCAUGUAUUGUUGCUCACGAGGGUAGUUUAUCUAAGUUGAUGCAAAAAAAGUUUGUUUUGUAAUUCAUGGAAGUUUGAUGCCUAUUCUUUCGAGAAUGAAACUGUUUUCAUUUCAUGAAAGCUAAAAACAAAGUUGUGGAUG